CCGUGUAUACUGUAUAUCUAUUGAAUAUUUAUUUUUAUUGUUUUGGCUGGAGUCCAACAUACAUAAGAGAAAAGAUUCAUUUAUUUACCACCUCUCAGUAUAGAUUGUAGUUCUAGAAAGAGAAUAUAUUCAUUUAAACCCUCUCCCAGUAUAGUUUUUAGUUCUAAGAAUGAGAAUAGAUUCAGUUGAACCUUCUCCCAGUAUAGUUUAUAGUGCUAUAGGAGAGAGAAUAGAUUCAGUUUAACCUUCUCCCAGUAUAGUUUAACGUGCUAGGAAUGAGAAUAGAUUCAGUUGAACCUUCUCCCAGUAUAGUUUAUAGUGCUAGUCGAAUGAGAAUAGAUUCAGUUGAACCUUCUCCCAGUAUAGUUUAACGUGCUAAGAGAGAGAUUAGAUUAAGUGAAACCCUCUCCCGGUAAAGUUUAUAGUACUAGGAGAGAGAUUAGAUUCAGUUGAACCUUCUCCCAGUAAAGUUUAUAGUACUAUAGGAGAGAGAAUAAAUUCAGUGAAACCCUCUCCCAGUAAAGUUUAUAGUACUAGGAGAGAGAUUAGAUUCAGUUGAACCUUCUCCCAGUCAAAUUUAUAGUACUAGGAGAGAGAAUAUAGUCGGUGAAACCCUCUCCCAGUAAAGUUUAUAGUACUAGGAGAGAGAAUAGAUUCAGAGAUUCGGCUGUGCGCUCCCAGCCGCCCUCUCAAGAUAUACAAAACAGAAAAGAGAAAGUAGAAGAAUAGAUUCAGCUGAUACUCCUCUAAGUUUGGACUUAAACUGAACUUUUGCUUAAAGUUAAACUAUAAGAUUCAGUUAAUAGGAAAAACGAUCGCUUCAGGUGUAUUUAAAAGUACUCAUAAAAUAAUAAUAAUAGUUUAUAUCGUGUAGAUACGUAUGUAAUUUAUAAAUGUAGAAUUGAAGUAGAAAGAAAAGCUUUCUCUAUACUCAAAGUGUAUUAUAUUUGAAUUAGUGAAUGAAGUGCUAUGGGUGACACACAGUAUAACAGCUUUUUACACUGCAAAUGCUAAUCACGGUAACGUAAGUUACGUAUAAUGGGAAACAGUUUAGCUCGUCUGUUUGGAGAUUCAAGUAUUAAGGAGGAGGAACCUUUUCCUGUUCAAGAACUACUAACAUUGUUUGCUCUGAUUGGGCUAGGUCUCAUGUUCUUAAUUCUCAUCGUGUAUGGAAUGGCAAAAUCAUGCAGAAAUGGAGAUUGUAGUAAACCUGUACAAUCUCCGGCUUAAAGUCAUAUAAACUGUACACUCUCCAGUUUAGAGUGGUAUAAACUGUACAAUUCUUCAGCUUAGAGUGAUUUCAGCUGUACAAUCUCCAUUUUAGAGUAAUAUCAACUCUGUAAUCUGAAGUGUAGAGCAAUAUCAAUUGUACCAUCUCUAGCUUAGAGUUAUAGGUAUGCAGACAAUCUCAAGCUCUGAAUAAUUUCAUCUGUGCAAUCUCCAGCUAGUGUGAUUUUAAAGUACAAUUCUCUUGUUGAAAGUGAAUUAUACCUUGACUUUGUUUAAUUAUAAUACUCUUAACUACCCAAUCCGUGUAGGCAUAAAACGUCCCUUUGUACGUACUUGAUCUCUAAUUAAAUCUCUAAUUAAAUCUCUAAUUAAAUCUUUAAUUAAAUCUCUGUUUAAAUGAUAAAUUUCUAAUUAAAUCUCGAAUUAAAGCUUUAAUUAAAUUUUUAUGCUCGCAAAAAUUACUUGUGUAGUACCCCGACACUCGAUUUGGAGGAAACAAAAUUUGUUGUAUUGUGUGUGCCAAAAAAUAUUUUUAUAAAAAAUUUUGAAGUUAUCCCAUUAUUUAAAUA
rnacentral:lncRNA from 1 species